UUAAACUGUUCAGGAGGACUGGGCAAUAUGCUCAUACUCUUAAUUGUUUUUCAUUUCUGGGUUACUGUGAAUGGUAUGUUUCACAAGGAUUUAUAGAACCAGUCAUGAAGAUCGGGUUGGCUCUAUUAGUAUUACCACUAAUACUAAUAAUACUACAGGAUGAUCAGUGAAUUACAUGCUAUAUUAAUGAAUAUUCAUGUAUUACCUUGUAAUUUAUUGUAGUUUCAGGAGUUUCCACCCCGAUGAUAGUUUUCUAACACUUGCCUUGUAUUUUCUCACAAACAUGGGUACUUUCGGUGUCUUUUGGUACUUUUGAUGUCUUUUGGAAGCAUAGGGGUGGUUCCUGUUUGAUUGGUAUUUGCCUUAUUGUUUUCUUGUUCUGCCUGCCCUAGGUUUUUUUCAGUCUAUAUUUGGGCAGGAGAGCAACAAGUGAUAAGCCAUGAAGCCUAUAUUUGCUGCCUUAGUGUAUUCUGUUGCCUGAAGUCUAGUAGUCUUAAGUCUUGUACUAGUUUCCCCCUUGUCCCAGAAAAAGGCAACAGUAUUAGCUUGUGUUGAUAAUACUACCCUCCUCUCCCUUGAGCAGGUGGUUUGUGAACCAUAGAGUGGAGACUCCUGGGACAUGGAAGGCCAAAAAGGGAUGAGUAUCUCUUCUGUGACUGGCAGCGUAUGCCUCUUAAUGAACUGGAUCCCUUGAUUUGCUGUGGCUGGAUGGG